CAUGGGGUAGCAAUACUCUGAUGGCGACCGGCAAACGGGUGCGGAACACGUACGCAACCUUCCUUUAACUGGAGAAUAGCCCCUCGAAAGAGGGAUUAAUACUCCGUAACAUGAUGAUAAGGCAUCUUAUUAUUAUUAUAGCUCCGGCGGUUAAAGAUGGGCGUGCGCCUGAUUAGGUAGUUGGCGGGGUAACGGCCCACCAAGCCUGCGAUCAGUAACUGGUGUGAGAGCACGACCAGUCACACGGGCACUGAGACACGGGCCCGACUCCUACGGGAGGCAGCAGUAAGGAAUAUUGGUCAAUGGACGCAAGUCUGAACCAGCCAUGCCGCGUGGAGGAUUAAGGCCCUCUGGGUUGUAAACUCCUUUUAUCUGGGAAGAAAUCCAUAUAUUCUUAUGUGGUUGACGGUACCAGAGGAAUAAGCACCGGCUAACUCCGUGCCAGCAGCCGCGGUAAUACGGAGGGUGCAAGCGUUAUCCGGAUUCACUGGGUUUAAAGGGUGCGUAGGCGGGUAAGUAAGUCCGUGGUGAAAUCUCUGAGCUUAACUCAGAAACUGCCGUGGAUACUAUUUGCCUUGAAUAUUGUGGAGGUGAGCGGAAUAUGUCAUGUAGCGGUGAAAUGCUUAGAUAUGACAUAGAACACCAAUUGCGAAGGCAGCUCACUACACAAUCAUUGACGCUGAGGCACGAAAGCGUGGGGAUCAAACAGGAUUAGAUACCCUGGUAGUCCACGCCCUAAACGAUGAUUACUCGACAUCAGCGAUACACUGUUGGUGUCUGAGCGAAAGCAUUAAGUAAUCCACCUGGGAAGUACGAUCGCAAGAUUGAAACUC
rnacentral:rRNA from 1 species